rnacentral:misc_RNA from 1 species
UUUCCGUAGGUGAACCUGCGGAAGGAUCAUUAUUGUAUAACCGAGGUGCGAGGGCCGUCGCUGACCCGAAAGGUCGUGCACGCCCGUGUGCCCUCACACACAUCCAUCUCACCCCUAUGUGCACCACCGCGUGGGUCCCCCUUUGGCUUGUUCGGAGGGGGGCUUACGUUUUCACACACACUUUGUAUGCAGUGUAGAAUGUAUUUUUUGUUUUUGCGAUCACGCAAUCAAUACAACUCUCAACAACGGAUCUCUUGGCUCUC